rnacentral:pre_miRNA from 1 species
AUUCUACUCCCUCCGUUGCACAAUACAUGCCUUCUAUUUGUCAAAAUAUAUAUGUAUCUAGACAUGUUUUAGUAUAUAGGUACAUCCAUUUUUGGACAAAUGGAAGUACAGUAUUUUGGAACGGAGGGAGUACACA